GGACAACCUGCCCUCGGGAGGGGGAUAACCCCGGGAAACUGGGGCUAAACCCCCAUAGGUGAUGGAUACUGGAAUGUUCCAUCACCGAAAGUCCGCAAGGAGCCCGAGGAUGGGUCUGCGGCGGAUUAGGUAGUUGGUGGGGUAACGGCCCACCAAGCCUAAGAUCCGUACGGGCCAUGGGAGUGGGAGCCCGGAGAUGGACCCUGAGACAAGGGUCCAGGCCCUACGGGCGCAGCAGGCGCGAAACCUCCGCAAUGCGGGAAACCGCGACGGGGUCAGCCGGAGUGCCGAUGCUUGCAUCGGCUGUCGGGGAGCCUAAAAAGCUCCCCAUAGCAAGGGCCGGGCAAGGCCGGUGGCAGCCGCCGCGGUAAUACCGGCGGCCCGAGUGGCGGCCACUAUUAUUGGGCUUAAAGCGUCCGUAGCCGGGUUGGUUAGUCUCCCGGGAAAUCUGGCCGCUUAACGGUCAGAAUUCCGGGAGAUACUGCCAGCCUAGGGACCGGGAGAGGCCGAGGGUAUUCCCGGAGUAGGGGUGAAAUCCUAUAAUCCCGGGAGGACCACCUGUGGCGAAGGCGCUCGGCUGGAACGGGUCCGACGGUGAGGGACGAAGGCCAGGGGAGCAAACCGGAUUAGAUACCCGGGUAGUCCUGGCUGUAAACGAUGCGGACUUUGUGUCGGACAAGCUAUGAGCUUGUCCGGUG
rnacentral:rRNA from 1 species